rnacentral:rRNA from 1 species
GUCCACGCUGUAAACGAUGAAUACUAGGCGUAGGUGGAGUUAAACCCAUCUGUGCCGAAGCCAACGCAUUAAGUAUUCCGCCUGGGAAGUACGGCCGCAAGGCUAAAACUCAAAGGAAUUGACGGGGCCCGCACAAGCAGCGGAGCGUGUGGUUUAAUUCGAUGCAACACGAAGACCUUACCCAGGUUUGACAUACAGGUAGUAGUGAAGCGAAAGCGGAACGAUCUUCGGAAGCCUGUACAGGUGCUGCAUGGCUGUCGU